UAGAGGAUUCCCCUUACCUGUGAUUUUAUACUCCUUUUUCGAGUGGAUCGAUGUCAGAAGCUGGCUGGUUCUACUCAGCGUCUUUUUGCUGAUUGCUGAUAUAAUCAAGAAUAAAAACCCACCCAACUUUCCCCCAGGACCAUGGCCUCUGCCUUUCUUGGGAAAUAUGUUCACUGGAGUGGAUUUCAAGACAAUGGAUAAGAUGUCAAGUAAAGAGAGACAAGAGUCCCGAAAAGAGGUGGCAGUUCUAGCCAACAUGAGUUACCCCAACAUUGUCCAAUACAAGGAGUCAUUUGAAGGCAACUGAGCAGAAUCUAUCAUGGAACGCGCAGCCUCUGACCACGACGUCGGGAUGAUGACAAGCUGGCCGCCAUUCCGCGAAAUAUGGGACCAGUGGACUGACCGGCUCCCACGGAUCUUUAACCCCGGAGCAGACAUGCUGGCAGAGCAGUUGCCCAAAAGGAAGAUUGCCAUGGUCGGCACAAUAAGAAAAAACAAACCAGAACUUCCACUGAGCUCCUGAGGGUCUGGGGGAGAGAGUCUCUCUCCUCAGUGUUUGCAUUUACGGCAACACACACCGUGGUAUCGUACAUACCAAAGAGGGGUAAGAACGUGUUACUCCUGAGCACAAAGCACCGGGAGCUGGAUAUCAGCAGCAGGGAGAAGAGGAAGCCCCAGAUCAUCCUCGACUACAAUAUAUAGUGACAACAAAAGGCAUUCUGUUCUAUUCUAUUCUAUUCUUGUUUUUGUUUCUUUCCGUUGUCGUCCCCGGUUUUGGCCCUCCUGCC
ensembl:lncRNA